GAUGAACGCUGGCGGCGUGCCUAAUACAUGCGAGUCGAGCGAACGGACGAGAAGCUUGCUUUUCUGAUGUUAGCGGCGGACGGGUGAGUAACACGUGGAUAACCUACCUAUAAGACUGGGAUAACUUCGGGAAACCGGAGUUAAUACCGGAUAAUAUUUUGAACCGCAUGGUUCAAAAGUGAAAGACGGUCUUGCUGUCACUUAUAGAUGGAUCCGCGCUGCAUUAGCUAGUUGGUAAGGUAACGGCUUACCAAGGCAACGAUGCAUAGCCGACCUGAGAGGGUGAUCGGCCACACUGGAACUGGGACACGGUCCAGACUCCUACGGGAGGCAGCAGUAGGGAAUCUUCCGCAAUGGGCGAAAGCCUGACGGAGCAACGCCGCGUGAGUGAUGAAGGUCUUCGGAUCGUAAAACUCUGUUAUUAGGGAAGAACAUAUGUGUAAGUAACUGUGCACAUCUUGACGGUACCUAAUCAGAAAGCCACGGCUAACUACGUG
rnacentral:rRNA from 1 species